AGUAACGGCGAGUGAACAGGGAUUAGCCCAGCACCGAAGCCUGCGUCUGUUUAGGCGUUAGGCAAUGUGGUGUUUAGGUUUAUUGCUUUCGUAUGCUACUUCGUUCCAAGUCCAAACUUGAAUAUGGCAUUUGUAUGGCCCAGAGAGGGUGAAAGGCCCGUAUGGACGGAGUGGUGUUUGACUGCGUAGACCGUGGAGUCGGGUUGUUUGAGAAUGCAGCCCAAAGUUGGUGGUAAACUCCAUCUAAGGCUAAAUACUGGCACGAGUCCGAUAGCGAACAAGUACCGUGAGGGAAAGUUGAAAAGUACUCUGAAGAGAGAGUAAACAGUGCGUGAAACCGAUUAGAGGCAAACGGGUGUAGUCAAGCUGCAAGUCGUGGGAAAUUGGCGGAUCAGAAUGGCGUGAGCUUGAGCAUAUUUGAUCUGGUUGUAGGUACGUCUAGUCAGGCGUGUUCGACUCGCGAGGGUCGGAUGUGUGAAGUGUCAUACGAUGCUGCAUGCCUAUAAUUGGUUUGUUCUGCUGGUCCGUUUACUUUCUCAUGGCGUAUGUCACGACCGUCGCAGCUGUCGGUCCGCUUCGUCUAAACCGUAGCGUGAGUAGCCUUGUGUUUCUCGCGUUGCGGGGGCAGGUAGCCAAUUUGGUUUCGGCCGGGUUGGUGUUAUCGCUGGGCGGAGUGGUAUCUGUGCAGUACGGCGGGGCUGGCGGUGCGUGGUACCGGGCGUGCUAAAGUGUCUCGGCAUAGCGUGAGUUUGGCUUCAUGUUGCUGCUUCUUGCGGCCUUGGGGUGGCUCUGCUGUGGUUUGAUAUGCGGCUGCGUCUGGUUCAUCUU
rnacentral:rRNA from 1 species